GCCUAGGAUGUAAGAUUUGGAGAAAGGAAGAAAAUGUUCAGCAUCCAAGGAGAGGAGCUAAGUGAUCGGGGGUAGAUAGCUAACUGAAGAGCACAAUCCAAAAAGCAAAGGAGAACCAAGUCAGAAAAGAAUGUCUCCAAAGCCAAGGCCAGAAAAACCAAGAUUCGCAAAAGGAGGACCCACCAUCACCUGCCCAUGAGGAUCUUGCUCCAUAGCUCCCCCAGUGUGGCAACAUGGAGGGAGGGAGAGGGACAGGAAGUGACGUCAGAAGAGGCCAGCGAGAACGCCCAGCAAGCUUAACGCUUGGGCUGUUCUUGCCAUCAGCACAAGGCUGAGAAGACGAUUCUGCUAUCAUGAGCGUUCUUCUUUAUGUCCUUGGCAUGGAGAGAACUGGCCACUGUUCUCAAGAGUGUUCCUCGUCCUGGCCGGCCAGCUUGCGCUGCUGGCAAAACAGCCAGCCAAGCCAGGGCACAGUUUUGCGGGACUUCGGGAGAAGCACAGACCACCCCGGCCUCAUCAGCCUGAGGCACCCAUGCCCUGGGCUGGGUCUGCAGCUACAGGUCAGCGUCCACGUGCAGGACAUAGGACAAAAGCUUCAGAAGAGGUCGGCAGCCCAUUCUGAUGGAGUUCUGACCAACUACAGGAAAAACACAAAACCCGGUUCCACGCGGUGCUUUAGUGGCUAAAAGUGAAAGAGCUGCCUUGGCAGAAUCAGCUCUAUGAAUCACUUCGGAAAAUUGGUUCGACUGAAUGGCCUUGGGAGGAAAACGUUUUAAUAGGAUCCAGGGGAGGCUCUGCCGCUUCAAUCUGCUCCUUAAACAGGUGGGGACUGGACCUCCUCAAUUACACCAACAGUAAGUACAGCCGGGCCGCCCCAGGCCCC
rnacentral:lncRNA from 1 species